GCUACUUCCACCUUGCUCUGCCUUUACUAUUAUUUCUCACUGGAAAUCCAGCCGCAAAGGCCACCAGGUAACACAGCACAAAGAUCCUGGAUUCUAACCCUGGCCUAGGGUGCAUAUCCGGUCAAACUUGUAUUUUUACUUUUCGCAUUGAAUUAGUCGCAUUAUUGAUGGUUAAUGUAAGUAUGUGAGGCGACUGCUGAGAGAGCAGCUGUAAACGAGGACAUGCAUCAGGAGAUGACAAAACUGCGUGAGAGUGAACUCCACCUGGAAGGUAUGUAUUUAUUUAUACGAUUAUUCUGUACAUGCUCUCCAUGAAAGUUGGCAACUGGGGUAAAAUAAAAGCAAAAAAACCAAAAUAACCACACAGGAUUUAGGUUAGUUCUUUUCCAUCCAAAAAACAUUUUUAUUUUCCUCCAAACUGAAAAGGCUUACCCUGUCAUUUGGCUCUUCUCAUUAGCCAAAAAACACACAUUGCAUUUCUUCAGCUUAGCAGUGGAGGCAUACAAAGAUCUUUUCGGACCCCGAGAGAUCGACGGAAAGAGCAAUACAGGAUCCUCUCCUUCAAGCCACAUGAGCAGAUCUUUGUAUUCAUGAGAUUAAUUUAAGAACAUAGGAAGCUGGAGAAAGAAGCAUUUGAUCUCCUGUGAAAGAGAGAGGAGAAAACAACCGUAUGAAGAGACCAGGGAUCAUGUUCCUUCUGUUAGAAAAGGCCUGAAAAUGUUCACAACCAAGAGAUCAUUUCAUCUCUGCCUCAGUGCUGCGUAUGUGCUGAACAUCUGUAGUGUACAUAAAUGGACACCGGAUAUGCAAAUUCAAAACCCAAGUGCCCACAGUCGAUAUAAAGCCAGGUCACAUGACCCAAAAAACAGGUGGCGUCACACGAAGGGGAGGGGCUUGAGACUUUGACAUAAGGGUUAA